rnacentral:rRNA from 2 species
GGUUAAGCGACUAAGCGUACACGGUGGAUGCCCUGGCAGUCAGAGGCGAUGAAGGACGUGCUAAUCUGCGAAAAGCGUCGGUAAGGUGAUAUGAACCGUUAUAACCGGCGAUGUCCGAAUGGGGAAACCCAGUGCAAUUCGUUGCACUAUCGUUAACUGAAUACAUAGGUUAACGAGGCGAACCGGGGGAACUGAAACAUCUAAGUACCCCGAGGAAAAGAAAUCAACCGAGAUUCCCCCAGUAGCGGCGAGCGAACGGGGAGCAGCCCAGAGUCUGAAUCAGCUUGUGUGUUAGUGGAACGGUCUGGAAAGUCCGACGGUACAGGGUGAUAGUCCCGUACACCAAAAUGCACAGGUUGUGAACUCGAAGAGUAGGGCGGGACACGUGGUAUCCUGUCUGAAUAUGGGGGGACCAUCCUCCAAGGCUAAAUACUCCUGACUGACCGAUAGUGAACCAGUACCGUGAGGGAAAGGCGAAAAGAACCCCGGCGAGGGGAGUGAAAAAGAACCUGAAACCGUGUACGUACAAGCAGUGGGAGCACCUUCGGGUGUGACUGCGUACCUUUUGUAUAAUGGGUCAGCGACUUAUAUUCUGUAGCAAGGUUAACCGUAUAGGGGAGCCGCAGGGAAACCGAGUCUUAACUGGGCGUUAAGUUGCAGGGUAUAGACCCGAAACCCGGUGAUCUAGCCAUGGGCAGGUUGAAGGUUGGGUAACACUAACUGGAGGACCGAACCGACUAAUGUUGAAAAAUUAGCGGAUGACUUGUGGCUGGGGGUGAAAGGCCAAUCAAACCGGGAGAUAGCUGGUUCUCCCCGAAAGCUAUUUAGGUAGCGCCUCGUGAACUCAUCUUCGGGGGUAGAGCACUGUUUCGGCUAGGGGGUCAUCCCGACUUACCAACCCGAUGCAAACUACGAAUACCGAAGAAUGUUAUCACGGGAGACACACGGCGGGUGCUAACGUCCGUCGUGAAGAGGGAAACAACCCAGACCGCCAGCUAAGGUCCCAAAGUCAUGGUUAAGUGGGAAACGAUGUGGGAAGGCACAGACAGCCAGGAUGUUGGCUUAGAAGCAGCCAUCAUUUAAAGAAAGCGUAAUAGCUCACUGGUCGAGUCGGCCUGCGCGGAAGAUGUAACGGGGCUAAACCAUGCACCGAAGCUGCGGCAGCGACACUAUGUGUUGUUGGGUAGGGGAGCGUUCUGUAAGCCUGCGAAGGUGACCUGUGAGGGUUGCUGGAGGUAUCAGAAGUGCGAAUGCUGACAUAAGUAACGAUAAAGCGGGUGAAAAGCCCGCUCGCCGGAAGACCAAGGGUUCCUGUCCAACGUUAAUCGGGGCAGGGUGAGUCGACCCCUAAGGCGAGGCCGAAAGGCGUAGUCGAUGGGAAACAGGUUAAUAUUCCUGUACUUGGUGUUACUGCGAAGGGGGGACGGAGAAGGCUAUGUUAGCCGGGCGACGGUUGUCCCGGUUUAAGCAUGUAGGCUGAUUGUCCAGGCAAAUCCGGAUAAUCAAGGCUGAGGUGUGAUGACGAGGCACUACGGUGCUGAAGUAACAAAUGCCCUGCUUCCAGGAAAAGCCUCUAAGCAUCAGGUAACAUCAAAUCGUACCCCAAACCGACACAGGUGGUCAGGUAGAGAAUACCAAGGCGCUUGAGAGAACUCGGGUGAAGGAACUAGGCAAAAUGGUGCCGUAACUUCGGGAGAAGGCACGCUGGUGUGUAGGUGAAGUCCCUGCGGAUGGAGCUGAGACCAGUCGAAGAUACCAGCUGGCUGCAACUGUUUAUUAAAAACACAGCACUGUGCAAACACGAAAGUGGACGUAUACGGUGUGACGCCUGCCCGGUGCCGGAAGGUUAAUUGAUGGGGUUAUCCGUAAGGAGAAGCUCUUGAUCGAAGCCCCGGUAAACGGCGGCCGUAACUAUAACGGUCCUAAGGUAGCGAAAUUCCUUGUCGGGUAAGUUCCGACCUGCACGAAUGGCGUAAUGAUGGCCAGGCUGUCUCCACCCGAGACUCAGUGAAAUUGAACUCGCUGUGAAGAUGCAGUGUACCCGCGGCAAGACGGAAAGACCCCGUGAACCUUUACUAUAGCUUGACACUGAACAUUGAGCCUUGAUGUGUAGGAUAGGUGGGAGGCUUUGAAGCGUGGACGCCAGUCUGCGUGGAGCCAACCUUGAAAUACCACCCUUUAAUGUUUGAUGUUCUAACGUUGGCCCCUUACCGGGGUUGCGGACAGUGUCUGGUGGGUAGUUUGACUGGGGCGGUCUCCUCCCAAAGCGUAACGGAGGAGCACGAAGGUUAGCUAAUCCUGGUCGGACAUCAGGAGGUUAGUGCAAUGGCAUAAGCUAGCUUGACUGCGAGCGUGACGGCGCGAGCAGGUGCGAAAGCAGGUCAUAGUGAUCCGGUGGUUCUGAAUGGAAGGGCCAUCGCUCAACGGAUAAAAGGUACUCCGGGGAUAACAGGCUGAUACCGCCCAAGAGUUCAUAUCGACGGCGGUGUUUGGCACCUCGAUGUCGGCUCAUCACAUCCUGGGGCUGAAGUAGGUCCCAAGGGUAUGGCUGUUCGCCAUUUAAAGUGGUACGCGAGCUGGGUUUAGAACGUCGUGAGACAGUUCGGUCCCUAUCUGCCGUGGGCGCUGGAGAAUUGAGGGGGGCUGCUCCUAGUACGAGAGGACCGGAGUGGACGCAUCACUGGUGUUCGGGUUGUCAUGCCAAUGGCACUGCCCGGUAGCUAAAUGCGGAAGAGAUAAGUGCUGAAAGCAUCUAAGCACGAAACUUGCCCCGAGAUGAGUUCUCCCUGAGACUUUAAGUCUCCUGAAGGAACGUUAAAGACGAUGACGUUGAUAGGCCGGGUGUGUAAGCGCAGCGAUGCGUUGAGCUAACCGGUACUAAUGAACCGUGAGGCUUAACCUU